rnacentral:rRNA from 1 species
UACGAAGGUGGCAAGCGUUGUUCGGAUUUACUGGGCGUACAGGGAGCGUAGGCGGUUGGAUAAGCCCUCCGUGAAAUCUCCAGGUUUAACCUGGAAAGUGCAGAGGGGACUGUUCAGCUAGAGGAUGGGAGAGGAGCGCGGAAUUCCCGGUGUAGCGGUGAAAUGCGUAGAGAUCGGGAGGAAGGCCGGUGGCGAAGGCGGCGCUCUGGAACAUUUCUGACGCUGAGGCUCGAAAGCGUGGGGAGCAAACAGG